rnacentral:rRNA from 1 species
GAUGAACGCUGGCGGCGUGCCUAAUACAUGCAAGUCGAGCGAACAGACGAGGAGCUUGCUCCUCUGACGUUAGCGGCGGACGGGUGAGUAACACGUGGAUAACCUACCUAUAAGACUGGGAUAACUUCGGGAAACCGGAGCUAAUACCGGAUAAUAUAUUGAACCGCAUGGUUCAAUAGUGAAAGACGGUUUUGCUGUCACUUAUAGAUGGAUCCGCGCCGCAUUAGCUAGUUGGUAAGGUAACGGCUUACCAAGGCAACGAUGCGUAGCCGACCUGAGAGGGUUAUCGGCCACACUGGAACUGAGACACGGUCCAGACUCCUACGGGAGGCAGCAGUAGGGAAUCUUCCGCAAUGGGCGAAAGCCUGACGGAGCAACGCCGCGUGAAUGAUGAAGGUCUUCGGAUCGUAAAACUCUGUUAUUAGGGAAGAACAAAUGUGUAAGUAACUAUGCACGUCUUGACGGUACCUAAUCAGAAAGCCACGGCUAACUACGUG